AUUGAACGCUGGCGGCAGGCCUAACACAUGCAAGUCGAACGGUAAAACGAAAGAACUUGUUGUUUCUCUGACGAGCGGCGGACGGGUGAGUAAUGGUUGGGAAACUGCCUGAUGGAGGGGGAUAACUACUGGAAACGGUAGCUAAUACCGCAUUACGUCGCAAGACCAGAACGGGGGUCUUGCGGGCCUGCUGCAAUCGGAUGUGCGCAGACGGGAUUAGCUAGUAGGUGGGGUAACGGCUCACCUAGGCGACGAUCCCUAGCUGGUCUGAGAGGAUGACCAGCGACACUGGAACUGAGACACGGUCCAGACUCCUACGGGAGGCAGCAGUGGGGAAUAUUGCACAAUGGGCGCAAGCCUGAUGCAGCCAUGCCGCGUGUAUGAAGAAGGCCUUCGGGUUGUAAAGUACUUUCAGCGAGGAGGAAGGGAGUAAAGUUAAUACCUUUGCUCAUUGACGUUACCCGCAGAAGAAGCACCGGCUAACUCCGUGCCAGCAGCCGCAGUAA
rnacentral:rRNA from 1 species